GACGAACGCUGGCGGCGUGCUUAACACAUGCAAGUCGAACGGAAAGGCCCUUCGGGGUACUCGAGUGGCGAACGGGUGAGUAACACGUGGGUGAUCUGCCCUGCACUUUGGGAUAAGCCUGGGAAACUGGGUCUAAUACCGAAUAGGACCACGCGCUUCAUGGUGUGUGGUGGAAAGCUUUUGCGGUGUGGGAUGGGCCCGCGGCCUAUCAGCUUGUUGGUGGGGUAAUGGCCUACCAAGGCGACGACGGGUAGCCGGCCUGAGAGGGUGACCGGCCACACUGGGACUGAGAUACGGCCCAGACUCCUACGGGAGGCAGCAGUGGGGAAUAUUGCACAAUGGGCGCAAGCCUGAUGCAGCGACGCCGCGUGAGGGAUGACGGCCUUCGGGUUGUAAACCUCUUUCAAUAGGGACGAAGCGCAAGUGACGGUACCUAUAGAAGAAGCACCGGCCAACUACGUGCCAGCAGCCGCGGUAAUACGUAGGGUGCGAGCGUUGUCCGGAAUUACUGGGCGUAAAGAGCUCGUAGGUGGUUUGUCGCGUUGUUCGUGAAAACUCACAGCUUAACUGUGGGCGUGCGGGCGAUACGGGCAGACUAGAGUACUGCAGGGGAGACUGGAAUUCCUGGUGUAGCGGUGGAAUGCGCAGAUAUCAGGAGGAACACCGGUGGCGAAGGCGGGUCUCUGGGCAGUAACUGACGCUGAGGAGCGAAAGCGUGGGGAGCGAACAGGAUUAGAUACCCUGGUAGUCCACGCCGUAAACGGUGGGUACUAGGUGUGGGUUCCUUCCUUGGGAUCCGUGCCGUAGCUAACGCAUUAAGUACCCCGCCUGGGGAGUACGGCCGCAAGGCUAAAACUCAAAGGAAUUGACGGGGGCCCGCACAAGCGGCGGAGCAUGUGGAUUAAUUCGAUGCAACGCGAAGAACCUUACCUGGGUUUGACAUGCACAGGACGCCGGCAGAGAUGUCGGUUCCCUUGUGGCCUGUGUGCAGGUGGUGCAUGGCUGUCGUCAGCUCGUGUCGUGAGAUGUUGGGUUAAGUCCCGCAACGAGCGCAACCCUUGUCCUAUGUUGCCAGCGGGUUAUGCCGGGGACUCGUAGGAGACUGCCGGGGUCAACUCGGAGGAAGGUGGGGAUGACGUCAAGUCAUCAUGCCCCUUAUGUCCAGGGCUUCACACAUGCUACAAUGGCCGGUACAAAGGGCUGCGAUGCCGUGAGGUGGAGCGAAUCCUUUCAAAGCCGGUCUCAGUUCGGAUCGGGGUCUGCAACUCGACCCCGUGAAGUCGGAGUCGCUAGUAAUCGCAGAUCAGCAACGCUGCGGUGAAUACGUUCCAGGGCCU
rnacentral:rRNA from 1 species